rnacentral:rRNA from 1 species
AUAACGAUGCGGAACUCAUUGAGGAUCCGUAAUCGGAAUGAGUACAGUCUAAAGCCUUUAACGAGGACCAAUUGGAGGGCAAGUCUGGUGCCAGCAGCCGCGGUAACUCCAGCUCCAAUAGCGUAUAUUAAAGUUGCUGCAGUUAAAAAGCUCGUAGUUGGAUCUUGACGGUGCUGCUGCGUGUUAAGUUGUUGGAAGUAGGGCGUUCGUGGCAUUGCCAUGUUUCGUCAGACAUCCUGCUCUUGGUGCGUGUGCGGUGCAGUCUUUCAGUCGUGUCUGGUCCUCUCGGGGACUAGGUGCCGUUGGUCGGUUGGACUUGUUUCGACUGGCAGGCGGUACGCGCCGCGAUGCUCUUGAUUGCGUGUUGCGGUGCGGGCGGCAUGUUUACUUUGAACAAAUUUGAGUGCUCAAAGCAGGCCAUAGUGUCUGAAAAGUCUUGCAUGGAAUAAUAGAAUAGGACUUCAGUUCUAUUUUGUUGGUUUUCGGAUCUGAAGUAAUGGUUAAGAGAGACAGACGGGGGCAUUUGUAUGGCGGUGUUAGAGGUGAAAUUCUUGGAUCGCCGCCAGACAACCUGAAGCGAAAGCAUUUGCCAGGAAUGUUUUCAUUGACAAAGAGCGAAAGUCAGAGGUUCGAAGACGAUCAGAUACCGUCCUAGUUCUGACCAUAAACGAUGCCAACUGACGAUCCGUGGGGUUAAAUUACCUUGUCCCCACGGGCAGUCCCCGGGAAACCUUUAAGUCUUUGGGUUCCGGGGGAGUAUGGUUGCAAAGCUGAAACCUUAAAGGAAUUGACGGAAGGGCACCACCAGGAGUGGAGCCUGCGGCUUAAUUUGACCCAACACGGGAAACCUCACCCGGCCCGGACACGGAAAGGAUUUGACAGAUUGAUAGCUCUUUCUCGAUUUCUGUGGGGGGUGGUGCAGGGCCGUUCUUAGUUGGUGGAGCGAUUUGUCUGGUUAAUUCCGAUAACGAACGAGACUCCGGCAUGCUAACUAGUUAUGCGGCCCCGAGCGGUCGGCGUCCAACUUCUUAGAGGGACAAGUGGCGUUCAGCCACACGAGAUUGAGCAAUAACAGGUCUGUGAUGCCCUUAGAUGUCCGGGGCUGCACGCGCGCCACACUGAGCGGAUCAGCGUGUGUCUACCCUUCGCCGAGAGGCGUGGGUAACCCGCUGAACCCCACUCGUGAUAGGGAUUGGGGAUUGCAAUUAUUUCCCAUGUGGCCGUUCUUAGUUGGUGGAGCGGUUUGUCUGGAUAUUCCGAUAACGAACGAGACUCCUCCAUGCUAAAUAGUUACGCGGCCCCUGGCGGUCGGCGUUUCAACUUCUUAGAGGGACAAGUGGCGUUUAGCCACGCGAGAUGGAGCAAUAACAGGUCUGUGAUGCCCUUAGAUGUCCGGGGCUGCACGCGCGCACA